UCUUUUGUGGCACCAAAACUUUAUUUAUAACAUCCCCUCCUACCCAGCCGCUUCCCAGUAGAGCCCACAUUCUCAAAUCCCUUUGACGCCUCAUCCUACCCAGCCUCUCCCCAUCCUGGAGCCACUUUUUGUAACAGUGAUUUCUCAGGAGAAGUGUUGAGGCACACAAUUUCUUUUUAGUACAUCUUUUCUCAGAGUUUAGGAAAUUCUCCAAACCUGAAAUGCCUCUCCCCUUUCAGUAAGGAGGUAGAUACAAACAGGCAUCUUGAAAAGAUAAAAUCAGAGGAUCAGUGGAUGGCUCCUGGCACUGCUGCUAUUAGCCCCGUGACUCUGAGUAGGUAACUGGAGAACUCUGAAUCUUCAUUCCCUCAUCUAUAAAACAGGCAUUGUUGCGAUCUGAUUGUUUGUGUCCCCCCAGAAUUUAUAUGUUGAAACCUAACCACCAAUGUGAUGGUAUUAGGAGGUGGGGCCUUUGGGAGGUGAUUAGGCCAUGAGGGUAGAGCCCUCACUAAUGGGAUUGGUGUUCUUAUAACAGAGGCCCAGAGAGCUGCCUGGCGCCUUCCACCACGUGAGGACUAUGAGCCAGGACAUGAGUCUUCACCAGGCACUGAAUAUGCCAGUGCCUUGGACUGUCUCGGACUACCUAGUCUCCAGAAAUCUGCACACUAUUCUGGUCCGUGUUUGUUCCGGCUCAAGCUGAGCUUUCGAUCGCCAUCCACCACUGCAGAUGGCCACCCUCGCAGAGCCGCCGCUAACUUCCACCCCUCCAGAUCCAGCAGGGUGUCCGCUGUGCUUCUGAUCCAGCAGGGCACCCAUUGCCGCUCUUGAUCAGGCUAGAGGCUCGCCAUUGUUCCUGUGCGUGAAUGCCUCUGGAGCCACCAUCUAGGCUCAACUAUGACUUGCCAUGGAGCAUUCUACAAGUACCGUAAGUGAUCUCCACAGCAACACUGUGACCUGGGGUUAGAAAAAAAAAACCAAGUUGGGAUGUCAAAGCUCUUUGUCUCUCCUGCCAUCUGGGGCCAGUCUCGGAGGGAGAGAACCCUGGGAGCAAACAUUUGGAAGGAGAACUCCUCAGUUGGGUGAUAAAUUUAGUGCAAGGCUUGGAUACAAGAGAAUCUCUCUCCCUCUGAUAUUUUUAAUUCUAACAUCAAGUAAAAAUAGAAUUUCCUGUUGAUCUGAUAAGAAAUUCCUGUUUUCCAGGGAGCAGGGCAGCCUACACCCAGGGGGAAUGGGCAGCAGGGGUUACCAACUAUUUCCGAGAUGGAUAGUUAAAGAAAGGAGGGGUUGGAUGGGCCUCAGUUCAUAUUUAUUUAUUUUUAAAGCAUAAAGCCAGCUCAUACCAAGAAGAAUCACAGGGCAUGAUUAAUAAUUUCCUACAUACAUUGAAGGCCUCAGCUGGCUUUGGAAAAGCUCUCUCUGCUGCCUCCCUGGAGCCUGGAUAUUUUUAGCAGCCAGAUGCAGUUUGGUUCAGAUUUCUCAAGCCUGAGCUCUUGGACUGCACACAUUGUGCAUAGUGUUUAAGGGAAGCACCUUGCACAGACACGCAGGUAGCAGUCUCCAAACUGUACCCCAAAUCCCUGGUUAUUCCAAGUUGCACUCAGCUCUAGGGUAGCCCCAGAGCCAUUGGCUCGGGAGUCCCAGUCUGUGCUUGCUUCCGCAUGAGCAGCUCAAAGAGUAUAUUUUUGGUGGACAGUUUGGGGGCCCCCCAGAAUCUUUUCCCCCUUUCUCCUGUUAAUAGCUCCCUGAUUUUUAAUUGGAGAAUCACCUCUUUCCCUAUGGUGCAGCCUGGUGGAAUUGUCAGUCAAGGACUUUUGCCCUCCCCUAGUCAAGCGGUUCAUCAAUCAGACCCUUUCCUGGGAUUUUGAACAUUGAUUGCAGCAAAACAAAGACAGAAAAAUGGCCACCCCUCAUUCACCCCAACGGUCAGCCCCUGCUCUCCGAAGGCCCAGACCUUGUCUGGUUCCUGCCCUUUGGGGCCUGAUUAUUCAUUUCUCCUUCAAUUCUAUGGGCGACACAGUAGCCUUCUGAUGGGUCUCCAUUUUUUAAAUACUUGCAAGUAAUGCACUGUGACUAAUGCAAAGUCUACUGAUGGUGAGUCACAAGUGUCACCCUGCAUGUCUUCUAACAGGGGAGUAAUAGUCAUAGCACAAAUGUGUGAUCCUUGACUGUUUAAGAUUCACACCCACAUAUGACAACUCCUUCAGCCUUUUAACAACUCAAUGAGAAAGGCAAGCAGCAAUCACAGCACCUCUUGAAAAAUGAGGAAGCUGGGGUUCAGAGCUACUCAGCUGCUACACAGCCUGGGAGUGGCAGAGCCAUCUCUUAAACAUCUGUCUGUCUUCUGACUCCAGCCACGGAUGUUCGCCACCAGACCACACUGCCUCUCACAGGUCACUUGAGCUGAAUUGGAGCUACUUUCAAGGAGGAAUGUGAUCCAAUCUUUAUCCUCUUGCCUAUGGAUGUCUAUGGGUCACCAGGAAGAAAAAUUGAGACUCUAACUUUUUAAGUGUUAUGUCAGAAAGUUUGGUUGGCCCUGGCAUCCAAGUAAAGGAUGCAUGAAGACAUUUAAAGCCACUUAAAGUCAUCUUUAAGAAGUCAUCAGGACCUUCAGCUGGAUCCUGGCAGCCUCCAGGAAUUCUUUCCCCUGGAAGAAACAUCUAUCUGCUUAGGAGGGUAAUUGCUUUUGCAGGGUGUAACCAUAGCAAAAAUAACCAUCCCACUCAGAGAACCAUAAGAAAUUCCUCCAUGAUGUACAGACUUGUUCCUACUGACUAUGGGCAAUAGCCAAAAUGUGAAAACAGUUCAAAUAUCCAUCAACAGAUAAACAAAACGUGGUACAUCCACACAACGGAAUAUUAUUCAGCCAUAAAAAGUAAUGAAGUACAGAUGCCUGCUACAAUGUGGAUGGACCACAAAAACAUCAUGCUAAGUGAAAGAAGCCAGAUACAAAAGGUCACAUGUCAUAUGAUUCCUUUUGUAUGCAAUAUCCAGAAUAGAUAAGUCCAUACAGACAGAGGACAAAUUGGUGGUGUCUCGGGGGCUGGAGGGAGAUUGGAUGGUGGGGAGGGGACUGCUUAGUGAGUAGAGGUUUUGCUGACUGAUGACAAUGUUUUGAACUAGAUAGAGGUGGUGGUGAAACAACAUUAUGAAUGUAUUAAAGGCUACUGAAUUGUGAAUGUCAUCUCAAAUUUCAUAAGAAACUGACAUUGAUAAGUAAUAAAAGCAAUUUGAACAAAACAAAACAAAGUUGUCAUCAGGAUGUAGCCCUUCAUUUUUUUUCUGGAUUAGUCUUCUUGACCCCUUCCCUUCCUCAUUUAAACACUCACAAUCGCCUAUCACUACAGGGCUCCCUUUGUGUCAUUUUUAAUCACGAUGUUUGUUCUCUCAACAAUGCCCAAUGUCACCCCAGUGACUAUAGAUGAAGGCUCAGUUUGAUGUUCAAAUUCUUUCAACUUCUACAUGGAAACUGCCAGGCUUGGCCUCUGCUGUGGCCAGGCUCCUCUCUCACUGUCACUGGAGCAGAUAGGCUCUUCCUGACCCCAGCCUUCAGAGAAGAGGUGAUGUUCAUGAACGCUUGUCCUCUGUGAUGGGGGAUGACAAUGAUGAUAA